ensembl:lncRNA
CGGUGCUCCAUCGUGCUCGAAAAUGCAUUGUUCUUCACCAAAUUGUUGUUGGAUUGUUGGAAGAAGUUGCUGUUUGAGGGUGUUUUGGUACAAUUCUUUAUUCAUGGCUGUGUUUUUGGGCAAAAUUGUGAGUGAGCCCACUCCCUUGGAUGAGAAGCAACCCCAGAUAUGAAUGCUCUCAGGAUGCUUUACUGUUGGCAUGACACUGGACUGAUGGUAGUGCUCACCUUUUCUUCUCUGGACAAGCUUUUUUCCAGAUGCCCCAAACAAUCGGAAAGAUGCUUCAUCGGAGAAUAUGACUUCGCCCCAGUCCUCAGCAGUUCAUUCACUAUACUUUCUGCAGAAGAUCAAUCUGUCCCUCAUGGGUUUUUUUUUUUUUUGGAGAGAAGUGGCUUCUUUGCUGCCCUUCUUGACACCAGGCCAUCUUCUAAAAGUCUUCACCUUACUGUGCGUGCAGAUGCGCUCACACCUGCCUGCUGCCAUUCCUGAGCAAGCUCUGCACUGGUGGCACUCCGAUCCCGCAGCUGAAUCCUCUUUAGGAGACUUUCUUGGAUGCCCUGAAAGCCUUCUUAACAAGAAUUGAACCUCUUUCCUUGAAGUUCUUGAUGAUCCUAUAAAUUGUUGAUUAACUCAUUCACUGCCAUUGACGUCUAUAGCCGUCAAUUGCAGUGAAUGAGUCAAUGGGUUUAACUCAUUCACUGCCAAUGGCUGGCAGUGAAUGAGUUAAGAUGCAGUCUUAGUAGCCACAAUAUCCUUGCCUGUGAAGCCAUUUUUAUGCAACGCAAUGAUGGCUGCAUGUGUUUCUUUGCAGUUCACCAUAGUUAACAAUGGAACAACAAUGAUUUCAAUUUCAAGCAUCGCCCUCCUUUUAACAUGUCAGGUCAGCCAUUCUAACCCAAUUAGCCUUACAUAAUGAUCUCCAGCCUUGUGCUCGUCAACAUUCUCACCUGAGUUAACAAGACAAUUACUGAAAUGAUCUCAGCAGGUCCUUUAAUGACAGCAAUGAAAUGCAGUGGAAAAGGUUUUUUUUGGGAUUAAGUUAUUUUUCAUAGCAAAGAAGGACUAUGCAAUUCAUCUGAUCACUCUUCAUAACAUUCUGGAGCAUAUGCAAAUUGCUAUUAUGAAAACUUAAGCAGCAACUUUUCCAAUAUUUAUGUAAUUCUCAAAACUUUUGGCCACGACUGUAGGUUUAGUUCUGUGUCAAGUCUGUGUCUUCGUGAGUUGUUUCCUGUUUAAUUUUGAAGGGUUAUGUCUUAUGUCAGUGUUGCUAGCGUCACUCCCCUGUCUCAUUAGGUCUCAUUCCUCCCAGCUGUGUUCCCCUUCUGUCUGUAAUUCCUUGAUGACUCCCUCAGUGUAUUUAAGCCCCGUGUUCCUUUCUGUAAGUGUCAUGUUGUACCCUCAGACUGGCAUGGCUGUUUCUGUUCUCAGUGUUCGUGGCUCAGUUUAAGUUUUGUUCCGUUUUUUUUUUUUUUUUUUAACUUGGCCUACGAUAAAGCAGAGGACUUUGAAUUCCGCCUCCAUGAGUCUGCAUAUUGGGUUCUUUAUCCUGCCUGCCUGCACACAGCCUUGACAAUAAGCACUCAAAGCGCUUUAUAAAACUCAUGCAUUCACCCAAUCAUACCCAUUCACACAAGCACUUUAUCUAAGGUUUUUAGUGCUUCUGUCUAACAUUCACUCGCAUACAGAGGGACUUUGGUACUGGACAGGGUGGCUGAAACUGUCAUCCUGAAUUGCUCUGUAAGUAAGUACAGUACAGUAUGAGGUCCACAAUGUUGGAUUACGAGAGAGACGUUGAAAGGCUGCUCCAACAGAACUUAUUGUUUCAGAGGAAAACACAAAAAAGUGUACCGUCCAGUCUUAAUAGCAUACUUACAACUGGGCUCAUCAGGCAUUCUUUUUGGCUGCAGUGGUUGUUAUUAUAUUUACAUGGUUCCAGCUCCUGUUUCUGGUCGGUGACAGCUCGUACUUUUACACUCUCCUUUUUCUCCCUCCCUGGUGCUCACAGACACGGGUAUAGCAGUCCAUUCUCCCUGCAGCACGAACUACACUGCCCAUGAGGCUACAUUCUUUAGGGUGAUACCUGUAACACUCUGCCUUUUGGCUUUAUAUGAAAUCAUUUUAAAAAAUAUUUCUUUACAUCAUUAUGAGAUGUGAGAUUGAGACACAGGCAUUUGCGCCUCUUAAUGCGUGUUUUGUUUGGGUUUCCACCAGUGUGGAAUU